CCUUUGGCUGUCACCCUCAUUUUGCACGUUACUACAGUGAGAGUCAAGAAAGAAAUCUUUUGCAAGCCUUAAGGCACCCUAAGGCUGUGGCAUUUGGAGAAAUGGGCUUGGAUUACUCUUACAAGUGCACCACGCCUGUCCCAGAACAGCACAAGGUAUUUGAGAGACAGCUGCAGCUGGCUGUGUCUCUAAAGAAGCCCUUGGUGAUCCACUGCCGAGAAGCUGAUGAAGAUCUGCUAGAAAUCAUGAAAAAGUUUGUGCCCCCUGACUACAAGAUCCAUAGGCAUUGCUUCACCGGCAGCUACCCGGUCAUUGAGCCCCUGCUGAAGUACUUUCCCAACAUGUCUGUGGGCUUCACGGCAGUGCUGACAUACUCCUCUGCCUGGGAGGCCCGGGAAGCCUUGAGGCAGAUCCCACUGGAGAGAAUCAUCGUGGAAACGGAUGCUCCCUAUUUCCUCCCUCGCCAGGCAGUGCAAAGCCCUACCCUGUAGAGGGUAGUCCAAGGAAGCGUGGGACCCUGCUCACCCAGAGCCCCCAUGACUAGGACUCUCCCUGCACCUGCAGGUUCCCAAAAGCCUUUGCCAGUAUGCCCACCCGGGCCUGGCCUUGCAUACGGUCCGAGAGAUUGCCAGAGUCAAAGAUCAGCCACUCUCCCUCACCUUGGCUGCCUUGCGUGAGAACACCAGUCGCCUCUACAGUCUUUAAGCAGAGAAGGUACAGUCCUCGGGAGUCUCCUAGAAAAGGUCGUAAAACUCACAUUCUGUAUUUUUUAAAAACCAGGACAAGUCUUUUGUUGCAUUUUGUUAAUGUAAAGAAUAUAAACAUAGUAUGAGCAUUAAGCCUGAUUUGUUUUGAGUGACAUGGUUUGGAACCUUCUUCUUUUUCUCUUCCACCCUCCAGGGCGACCAGCAGCCUGACAGAACACAGGCUGGCUUGAAGUCUGUGUCUCAGGUCGAGGAUGUGUUUAGAGAGCUGAUUGGAACACAGAAAACCAGGACAGGAUGUUUUCCUCCAAGCGGGUCAUAAGGCUUCAGCUUCUGGGUGGUGGGUGGGGUGGGGUGGGCAUGGAAUGAGGGGUAUGGGGACUGCCUGUAAUAGCACUGGGAUUUUGCCUCCCAGCCAAAAUGCUCCAGGGUAGGCAGCAAAGAAGAAAGAGUGCGAUAUGAGGGUACAGUGAGUUUGGCAGUCCAAAUUCUGUUCUCUGCAGCCUGUUUUUGAGUAGUUGGUGAAUAAAGUCACCCGCCUACUUGUCUAAGCACAUGUGGGUGUGUAACUCAGUUCCUGGUUCUCGGUUCUAAAAACAGACUUCCAACUGGGAAACUUUUUGGGGGAAAUUAACUGGACACCUAUCUCGGAGGUUUAUUUUCUUGCAACCAGUGAAGUCGUCCUCCUCCCUUCCCUGGAUAACUCUUCAGUUUGACUGUCACUGUUCUGGUGUCAACUCCAGCGUCGGCACAGGCAGAAGGACUUCAGCUGCUGGUCUCAUUGGUUCCACUGCCAUUGAUAUGGGGGGGUGCAGAGGAGCACUCAUUGUCCAUGAUGGAGAUCCAGGACAGACUGGGGGACUCCGGGAAGAGGCUUUCUUGGGGAAGAGGACCCCAAAGGAGCAUACAGUUUGAACAUUUAUUCGCCUCCUGAGCUUGUACAACAGUCGUGGGAGUUGCUGCAGAAGCAAGCGAAAAGCCAGAUGAGCGCUUCUAAACUUAGAGAGAGGGAGAGCGCCUCAUCUCUUCCAUUUUCCAGGUAUUCCUGAGAUGAUUUAUUGGAGCUCAAAGCUUUGGGAGAGUUGGGGCCUUCCAUUCCCUCCAGUAAAUACUUGUUUUUCUUCCACCGCUGAGGCAAAUGCGGGGUGGCUGAUCACCUGGCAGACAUCUUAGGAAACAGGAGCACCGGUCUGGGAAACUGCUGGCCUGGCCUAACACCUGGCGCUGUGGUGCAGGAGGGCAGCCACUGAGGAUUCUUGAGGAGAGAGAGACCAUAGAAUGAAUGAAAGAGUUGGAAAGACUUUAAAGCUCUGGGAGGCUGAAUCCUUUAUUUCGCUGGAAGAAAAACUGAAUGCCAAGAGGGCCUCACUUUCCCCAAAGCUAUACAGCCAUCAGGGGCAAUGCUGGGAUUCCCCCAUGGAUCUCUUGACUCCUAAUACAGUGCUCUUUCUGAUAUGCCAUCUGGCUCCAUAAUGAACAUUGUGUUCCAGGAAAAUCAGUCUGCGCUGAACAGGAUGGAAUUGGGGCAGGACGUCCAGUGAGGAGGACAUUGAGGCAGUAGAGCAGUUGAUUGCCGAAUGACCACCUACCCUGACUUAAAAGAUCAACCUCAGGGAGGAUUGGAGCUUUCUAGAGUCUCUUGGGACAGCAGAAGCACAGGCCGGGUUGGACUGAAUCUUUAAGUGGACAUGAGGGACAAAGUACCUCCUGUUGGUAAACAUCUCACCACCAACCCACUGUGGUGGCUAAAAUCCCACCUUUAGUCCCAGCAACAUAUGAGCAUGUCACCAGGAGGUCUUCACAGGCCUGUCUGCCACCUGAGUGUAGACAUCUUUUGGCCCUGGAGCCCAGAGAGGCUGAAUGUGGAGAGGGUGGAGAGAGGUCUGUAGUCCUCAGAGAAGACUUGCAGCUUUUUCAGAGCCACCAACCCAUAAAAAAAAAAAUCCCCAAACAGAAAAAUCCUAACUGUGGUGACCAGGUACCUCCUGAGACAUGAAGCCUCCACUUACCUGGACCCUGGAGGCCUCUCCGGGCACAGCUGCCAAUGUUGAUCUUAGAUAAGACCACCAGCAAGUAAACAUCCACUGUGCAAAGCUGUGUUAUCUUUGGGGAACUGAAAUGUCCCCUGGGAGUUGGAAACUCCCCUAGCCACAUACCACAGAGUUGAGGAAGGAAGAGCUGAUGGACGGAAGAACCAUGGCGGGAGGAGUCAUCCGGAAGCUACCUCGCUGCCCUGUCAGUUACGGAACAGAGGAGAGAUGCCGGCUGGAGGACACAGCAAAUUUGAACCAAGAGGAGCUUGGAGGAAGCCCGAGCGACCUGGAGGGGACUGGCUGACCUUCCUCAUUCUUUUCAAGUGUGAAUAAUAACCAAGCCCAGUUUGGCAACUCCUUGAGGGUGAGGACGAAGCCCCAUUCUCCUUUUUGGAACUUGGUGGGGCUCAGGAAGCAGGUUCUCUCCAGUCGGUGGCUUUCCUUUCUGUUGCGGGUCUCUUGAGGGCCUGCCUUC
rnacentral:lncRNA from 1 species